AUGACGUAUGUCUGCCCGUAUGCGCAGCGGGCGUGGAUCGCGAGGAACUGCAAGGGUUUGCAGCACAAGAUCUUGCUCGUCCCCAUCGAUUUGGAUGAUAGGCCAGUGUGGCUCAGCAAGAUUUACCCCAAAAAUCAGGUACCCUGCCUAGAGCACAACAACAAAAUGAUAGGAGAGAGCUUGGAUUUGAUCAAGUACAUAGACAGCAAUUUCGAAGGCCCCAAACUGAGUCCUGAUGAUCCUGAAAAGCAAGGGCUUGCAGAAGAACUGCUGGCUUAUUCAGACACCUUCAAUCAAGCGAUGAUGUCGGCAUUGACUACCAAAGGGGCAGUGACUGCUGAUGCUGAAGCUGCUCUGGACAAAAUAGAAGUCUCCCUUUCAAAAUUUGAUGAUGGGCCUUUCUUUCUCGGCCAGUUCAGUCUGGUGGACAUCGCAUAUGCACCAUUUGUUGAUGGAUUCCAAGUAUUCUUCGCCAACAUAAAGAAUUACGAUACCGCCGCAGGAAGGCCUAACAUGCAGAAAUUCAUCAAGGAAAUGAAUGGCAUUGCAGCGUAUGUGCAGACCAAGCACGACCCUCAAGAACUGCUUGCUCUCACAAAGAAGCUGCUCGGGGUA
rnacentral:rRNA from 1 species